rnacentral:rRNA from 1 species
UACAGAGGUCCCAAGCGUUGUUCGGAUUCACUGGGCGUAAAGGGUGCGUAGGCGGUCUGGUAAGUCUGACGUGAAAUCUCCGGGCCUAACCCGGAAACUGCGUCGGAUACUAUCCGGCUAGAGGAUUGGAAGGGAGACUGGAAUACUUGGUGUAGCAGUGAAAUGCGUAGAUAUCAAGUGGAACACCAGUGGCGAAGGCGAGUCUCUGGACAAUUCCUGACGCUGAGGCACGAAAGCCAGGGGAGCGAACGGG